rnacentral:rRNA from 1 species
UACGUAGGUGGCGAGCGUUGUCCGGAUUUAUUGGGCGUAAAGCGUGCGCAGGCGGUUUUGUAAGCCAGGUGUGAAAUCCCCGGGCUCAACCUGGGAAUGGCAUUUGGGACUGCAAGGCUGGAGUGCGGCAGAGGAGACUGGAAUUCCUGGUGUAGCAGUGAAAUGCGUAGAUAUCAGGAGGAAUACCGAUGGCGAAGGCAGGUCUCUGGGCUGACACUGACGCUCAUGCACGAAAGCGUGGGGAGCAAACAGG